rnacentral:rRNA from 1 species
GACGAACGCUGGCGGCGUGCUUAACACAUGCAAGUCGAACGCUGAAGCUCAGCUUUUGUUGGGUGGAUGAGUGGCGAACGGGUGAGUAACACGUGAGUAACCUGCCUCCUUCUUUGGGAUAACGCCCGGAAACGGGUGCUAAUACCGGAUAUUCACUGGUCUUCGCAUGGGGGUUGGUGGAAAGGGUUUUUCUGGUGGGGGAUGGGCUCGCGGCCUAUCAGCUUGCUGGUGGGGUGAUGGCCUACCAAGGCUUUGACGGGUAGCCGGCCUGAGAGGGUGACCGGUCACAUUGGGACUGAGAUACGGCCCAGACUCCUACGGGAGGCAGCAGUGGGGAAUAUUGCACAAUGGGCGCAAGCCUGAUGCAGCGACGCCGCGUGAGGGAUGGAGGCCUUCGGGUUGUGAACCUCUUUCGCUCAUGGUCAAGCCGCAACAAUGGUUGUGGUGAGGGUAGUGGGUAAAGAAGCGCCGGCUAACUACGUG